AUUCAAAUUAGUAAAUUAGUUUGAAAAUCCCAAAAUACCCUAACAACUACACGAAAUCCGUGAUCUUCCUCACAGCUCUCUCAAACACCGUAACAGCAGCCACUUCCUUCACACUGCGGCUGUGCUUCUCUCUCGCCGCCGGUCAGAUCUCUGCACCGAUCUGCUCUCUUGUAGUUUUUUUUUUGUGCCUCUCUCAUUAUCUUGAUUAAUUGAUUAUUUGAUUAUUGAAUAUUGAUGACUUGAUCUGUUAAGAAUAUGGAUUUUAAAUUGCUUUGUUCAUCUAUCUAUCUAUUUUAUUAGAUUAGUCCCUGUCGCCGCCGCUCACUGUCCGACACCGGCCCUGUUGCCGCCGCAUACUCCUUCCCUCGUCGGUGGCUGAGUUGCUUGCUGCUGACCUGCUGCUCACU
rnacentral:lncRNA from 1 species